AUUGAACGCUGGCGGCAGGCUUAACACAUGCAAGUCGAGCGGGGUGAAGUGCUUCGGUACUGAUCCUAGCGGCGGACGGGUGAGUAAUGCUUAGGAAUCUGCCAUUUAGUGGGGGACAACAUUCCGAAAGGGAUGCUAAUACCGCAUACGUCCUACGGGAGAAAGCAGGGGAUCUUCGGACCUUGCGCUAAAUGAUGAGCCUAAGUCGGAUUAGCUAGUUGGUGGGGUAAAGGCCUACCAAGGCGACGAUCUGUAGCGGGUCUGAGAGGAUGAUCCGCCACACUGGGACUGAGACACGGCCCAGACUCCUACGGGAGGCAGCAGUGGGGAAUAUUGGACAAUGGGCGGAAGCCUGAUCCAGCCAUGCCGCGUGUGUGAAGAAGGCCUUUUGGUUGUAAAGCACUUUAAGCGAGGAGGAGGCUACCUGGAUUAAUACUCUGGGAUAGUGGACGUUACUCGCAGAAUAAGCACCGGCUAACUCUGUGCCAGCCGCCGCAGUAA
rnacentral:rRNA from 1 species